GCACUGGUGUCAGCAGUACACAUGCUAAAACUAUAACGACACAGAAACUACCAAGGCCCCUGUGCAAGGCUGGCAUGUGAAUUUGAAAAGCAUUCAUAUGUUUU
rnacentral:snRNA from 1 species